rnacentral:rRNA from 1 species
GACGAACGCUGGCGGCGUGCUUAACACAUGCCAGUCGAACGGAAAGGCCCUGCUUUUGUGGGGUGCUCGAGUGGCGAACGGGUGAGUAACACGUGAGUAACCUGCCCUUGACUUUGGGAUAACUUCAGGAAACUGGGGCUAAUACCGGAUAGGAGCUCCUGCUGCAUGGGGGGGGGGGGAAAGUUUCGGCGGUUGGGGAUGGACUCGCGGCUUAUCAGCUUGUUGGUGGGGUAGUGGCUUACCAAGGCUUUGACGGGUAGCCGGCCUGAGAGGGUGACCGGCCACAUUGGGACUGAGAUACGGCCCAGACUCCUACGGGAGGCAGCAGUGGGGAAUAUUGCACAAUGGGCGGAAGCCUGAUGCAGCAACGCCGCGUGCGGGAUGACGGCCUUCGGGUUGUAAACCGCUUUCGCCUGUGACGAAGCGUGAGUGACGGUAAUGGGUAAAGAAGCACCGGCUAACUACGUG